CUGGGCUCGGGACGCGCGGCU
rnacentral:miRNA from 1 species